rnacentral:rRNA from 1 species
ACAUGCCUACAACAUAGCGUUAAUGCACUGGAUCCCAUUAGAACUCCAUAGUUAGGCACACUCAGGAUAGAGUAGUCUUGGGAUGGGUGACUACUUGGGAAGUCCAAUUUUUUUACAUGCC